rnacentral:misc_RNA from 1 species
AAGUCGUAACAAGGUCUCCGUUGGUGAACCAGCGGAGGGAUCAUUACCGAGUUUUCAACUCCCAAACCCCAUGUGAACUUAUUAUACCUUUUUUACCGUUGCUUCGGCGGGUUCUUCGCCCCGGAUUACCCGGAACCAGGCGGCCCGCCGGGGGACCCAAACUCUUGUAUUUUUUACUUUUAGCAUGUCUGAGUGGAAUCAUACAAAAUGAAUCAAAACUUUCAACAACGGAUCUCUUGGUUCUG